rnacentral:ncRNA from 1 species
UAAAGGUAGAGGCGCGGAAAGGCAUCAGUAACGCAGGGCAGAGGGAUGUUCGCAGCAUUCGCCCGGCGCGAAAGGGUCUGCCGCCGAAGGGUGUCAGGCGAACGGCACUCUGGGCGCACGGAAUAAGAGACGUGCGACUGUCGCUUGGAGAGAGAUCUCCACAUGCGGAGUGCUAUUAU